AUUGAACGCUGGCGGCAUGCUUUACACAUGCAAGUCGAACGGUAACAGGCCGCAAGGUGCUGACGAGUGGCGAACGGGUGAGUAAUGCAUCGGGACGUGCCCAGUCGUGGGGGAUAACGCAGCGAAAGCUGUGCUAAUACCGCAUACGAUCUAUGGAUGAAAGCGGGGGACCGUAAGGCCUCGCGCGAUUGGAGCGGCCGAUGUCAGAUUAGGUAGGUGGUGGGGUAAAGGCCUACCAAGCCGACGAUCUGUAGCUGGUCUGAGAGGACGACCAGCCACCCUGGGACUGAGACACGGCCCAGACUCCUACGGGAGGCAGCAGUGGGGAAUUUUGGACAAUGGGCGCAAGCCUGAUCCAGCAAUGCCGCGUGCAGGAAGAAGGCCUUCGGGUUGUAAACUGCUUUUGUACGGAACGAAACGGCCUGGGUUAAUACCCUGGGCUAAUGACGGUACCGUAAGAAUAAGCACCGGCUAACUACGUGCCAGCCGCCGCAGUAAAAC
rnacentral:rRNA from 1 species